rnacentral:rRNA from 1 species
AGUAACGCGUGAGCAAUCUGCCUUUAAGAGGGGGAGUAACAGUCGGAAACGGCUGCUAAUACCGCAUAAAGCAUUAAAUUCGCAUGUUUUUGAUGCCAAAGGAGCAAUCCGCUUUUAGAUGAGCUCGCGUCUGAUUAGCUAGUUGGCGGGGUAACGGCCCACCAAGGCGACGAUCAGUAGCCGGACUGAGAGGUUGAACGGCCACAUUGGGACUGAGACACGGCCCAG